GUUCAGUUUCACACAGCGUUAACUCAAGUGCGCCCGCUCUGCCAUUGUCUCCCGCACGACAGCCCGCCCGCGCUCGCUUUCCAUGACAAAGCUUUAGGGCGAAAUGAAUCGAGGGCCGAAGUCCGCCUUUGUCCGCCCUAAACAAACUCUCCCGCGGCCCCCCCCCCUCCUCCCCCCCGGCGGCAGCGCGGGGCCCUCCGGCGGCGGCGGGGCGGGGGGCAGCGCCGGGAGCCGCGGGGAGCCCCUCCUUCCCUCCCUUCCCCGCGAGGCGGGGGCCGUGCGGCGCGGGGCGGACUCGGUGCUGCCGGGGGCUUUCCCCGCACGGCCGCCGCCGCCGCCCCGCCUCAGGGCCGGCGCUCUCCCGCCCCGCCCGCCCCCGCGGCUCCCGGCGCGGAGGGGCUUCCCCUCGCCCUGCGGAGCCGCCGCGGCCCCGCGCUUCCCCUCCGCCCGUUCCGUUUCGUUCCGCGCCCCGCCCCGCCAAGGGUUAAGCCGCAGGGCCGGCCCGGCGAUGGCAGCCCUGUCAGACGGGAAACACCCGGCUGCCCCGACAGGGCCGUGGAGCGCGGCGGCGGCGGGGUGUGUGUGCGGGGGGGGGGGGAGGAGGUGCGCGGGGGGUGAGAUCCCCGCGCGGGUGAGGCGCGCCCGGCCCGGAGCUCCGGGCGUGGAGCCCGCUGACAGCGCGGCCGAGCCCCGCCGCCUCCCCGGGACGCGGCUCCGCGCCGCCCGAGCCCUCUCCCCUCCGCCCCGGGUCCUUAACCGAGCGGACGAGGCGGGAGGUGCGGGACGAGGCCCGGCCCGACCGCUCCCGGCCGGCGGAGCGGCCCCGUAGCCGGACUCGGGCGGCCGGCGGCACGGUCCGCGCUCCGCUCCGCGCACCCCGCGGCGCCCGCCCCGAGGAAAAGAAGCACGACGCCCCCCCCCCCCCCAACCCACCCCAAUGACACCGGAGCCCCGGGGAGGAAGGGGGGUGGGGGGGGGGCUUUGUGCGGGGAAUUGAAGGAAAAUUUACAAAACAAAACAAAAAAAAAUACAACGCGGAGAGAGAGAGAGAGAGACGGGGGCAGAGUGGCUCCUCCUCCUCCUCUCCAAAAAGGCCUGUUGGAAAACUGCACACGGCGGCGGCUCCAACGGCACCAUCGCCGCGCUCUGCCCUGGAGAGAAAAGGAGGCGAAAGGCACCGAGCGAGAGGGGGGGGACCGCGGCGAAAGGGGGGAAAAGGCCCGAUCUCUUUGUGUUACCUGCCGUGAAACCAGUCCUUGCAGGCAUCGCAUUCAAUCAUGAAGCGGGUUACGUCGUAGGGCAGCCUACAGAUGCAAUAGACGGGCACCGUCGCCAUGUUAGCUCCCUUCAAAACAACACCGGACUCGCGGAGAGGCGAGCGGGGCUGGCGGCGGCUCCUGCCGCUCGGUAGCUUUGGCGGCUGCUCCUUCCGAAACGCGAGCGAAUUUGCGAUGUCGAGAGACGGAGCGGGGAGGGGGAAAGGGGGGGGGAAAGAAGGGGGGAAAAAAAAAAAUCAGAUAAUGCAAUUACGGCUCCUCAAGGGCGAGCGAGCAAUGUCAGAAAAAUAAGAAAGGGCUUCGCAAAGUUUGGCUGCAUGGUUCCUCCGGCUCCGCGAGCGCCGACCGGACCGGGGCUUUUUUGUUGUUGUUGUUGUUAAAUGAUUAUUAUUCAAAAUGUUUGGCGAAAUGCAUUAUAUUGCAUGCCCCCUGGUGACAGUACAGUACCGAGGCUUUUCAUAAACACUCCGAAAUGUAGCCCUUUCCUUGUAAUGUCCUUACGUCAGCUUGCAACAUUGCAAUAUUUCCUCUGCCGGGGCUGGGGCUGGGGCGGGCGGCGGCGGAGGGGGAGGCGAAGCGAGGCGAGGCGAGGCGGCAGCUCCGCGCUCGGCGCCGGGGGCAGCGGGAGGGAGCCGCGGUUUGGAAGGCACCCCACCACCUCCAUCCGUGCCAGCCCCAUCGCUGUCGCACGCUGGGCUGCUACCCCGGAGCUGCAGAUGGGUGAGCGGCAGUGGCGAAGGCAGAAGAGGAACCCUUGAGUUUGAGCUGAGAUUGAGAACACAGAACUUCUCCCCCUCCCAUUGCACAGAGUCCAAAGAGCCCUCUGGGUGGUUUUGGAAGGCAUGCUUCAGGGCAUUCUGCUGGGACACAUCUGAGCAUCUUCAACAGCCGCUGACACAUGUCCCUUGCAAGUACGAGAACGUCACGUAAAGUAAUCACAAGGUGUCCCAGCUGAUGUGCAAGUGCCAGUUCCGACAGGUUUGGUGUCUUGAAUCCCUCUCAUUUUCAGAGGGAGGAUAAAAUCUAUCUGUCUUAAAGCAAGAAGAGAAAAACGGGCAUUUCUUGGUGUUUUUUCAGCAGUCUGCCAAAUCAGAAAUCACCCUGUAGCGGACAAAGGAAAUUCAAGGGCCCAAAUAACUUCAGGUUUCGCAAUGUCGAGAGACAGAGCAGAGAUGGGGGGAGGUGGAAAAAAACAGAUAAAGCAGUGCCAGAAAAAUAAGACGGGGCUUCCCAAAGUUUGGCUGCAUGGUUCCUCGGGCUCUGUGAGAGAGAAAGCCACUAUUGAUACAGGCAGAACCUGCCUAGGUCGACUGAAGAGAGACUGUCAAAACUGCUCGCCUUGCCCCCUGGAUUGAUGUGCCACAGAAGUGACUUUCAGGCAGCGCUCAUGAUGAACUACAUGUGAACUAGUGCUGGGAAUGGCAUUCCUGGGCCCACCAUGAAUGUUUACGAGUGAAACUGAAUUUCUGGCAUAGCUCAAGGUGUGGUAACACAGGACUGAGAUUAUAGGCCUACAUCAUGACUCAGUUGUUUUGAAUGACAUCUUGAGGCACACAAAAUGUCUGUUUUCCUCAGUGCUGAGUGGCAAAAGUAUAUACCUGUGAAAAACCUAGACCCCAUUUCAGCCUGAAUUCAACUACUGAGAUUUUAAUUACUCAGUGUUUCAACCAGAAAAGCAGAAGAACAAGUCUAGGGUGUUACGUGGGCUCACAUUGCACCGGGGGAGGUUCAGGUUGGAUGUUAGGAAAAACACUGCAAGAGUGGCUUGUGCUGAAUGGGCUGCGUCACCUGCAGGUGCUCAAGAAACAUGGAGACACGGCGCUGAAGAAUGUGGUUAGUGGGCAGUACUGGUGGUAGAUGGAUGGUUGAACUGGAUGAUUGUAGAGGUCUUUUCCAACCGUAACGAUCCUUUGAGUCUCUGAUAAUGCAGGAUGAGGAGACGAGGCCCAGACAACCACUGCAUGAGCUGUGAGCACCUUUGUAGUCCUCUCCUCACUGCCACACCUGUUGGAACCUUUGCAGGAGAGGUUUAAACGUGUUCGCUGAUUUUCAAUCAUGUGCUCUUGCAGUGGUUGUCUUUGCUACCACUUCUUGAGCUUUCCAGAUGUUCUUCUUAUCACUUUGAAGCAUUCUUCCUAUAUAUUUCCUCUACAGCAAGUGGUGCAUAAGCUUAUUUCUACUUACGGUGCUAUGUGGCUAUACACAUUGUCCCCAGAGUUAUUUCCGGACUAGUAAAGGUAAACCAAGUUAUCUUUUUUUUUCCCUUUGACCAUAUCUGCUCUUUAAAAAAAUGUUUACAAAGAAGCCGUCCAUGAAACCAACCUUGAAACAACAGGGAUCACUGGGCUUCAGCAGGAGGGGAGCUUGUGGGGACUGCAUGCCUCUUCCAGAGUUCCCCAUCUGACACCAGAUCCUAUGACACUGAUCGGUCAGAUCUCGCAGAACACCGUACUGUGCUGUCUUGGUUUCUGAACCAAGGCAAGGAACUGAACAAUUGAAACUGCAAAAGGGGGCUGGGAUAAAAGGGCCUUUCAUAUAGCAAAUUAGCUGAAAGGUUUAGUUAAAGAAUGGACUUUGGAACAGCUAACACAGAUCGCAUUUAUCACUCCAUACCUGCGCUUUCCCACUUAAACACUCUUCUUUUGCUUCAUUUCAGCACACAGUCUCACACACACAGAACCUUGACAUGAGGAAGCAACUUUAUUGGACAUCAGCAUCGUUCUGACAGCAGUGCUCUGUCUUCAGCGUGGGUCACCACAGGCUGGCAGGGUACGUGAAACCUGAACGCUGACCAACCUACAGAGGUCAAUAAAAACUUACCAGUUUCUCUUAUGAGAUUUUAAAGUCUCAGAUGCAUUUCUUGGAGGACAAAGCUCCAAUAGUUUGGGAAGUUCCUCACAGUCCGUCUUCUCCUGCCCUGUUUCCCAGUGCUGCUGUGCCGCAGCGGUAAGCGAGCAGGGACUCCUCCUCACUGCCCAGGAUGAGCCCAGGAAGGGCAGCAGGGGUGGGGUGUAGAGCAGCAGGAUGGCUGCCACGUUUUGCCAAGCCCAGCGACAGGAGUGAGUGGUUUGGUGAGAAAAUAUUUGCACUGAACGUGGUCCUCACGUUCGGAGCCCAGGAGGCGUCGUGCCAGCUACGCCUUCUCGCUCCUCACAGCAAACUUAACCUCCAGGAGGGUACUUAAAGACGGAGUAAGUGAAAACAGAGUGAAGGAGCACAGCAGGCCUGUUUGGGCCGAGCUCAUGGAGCCUCGCAGUGAGGCCUCGUGGCUCAGCUCCGCUUUGUCUCAUGCUGUGGCAGCAGGCCGUGUCAGCGGCCCAGGGCCGGGCUGCCUGCCAGCGCCUUCACCGGGCUGCGGCCUUCAUUUGCUGCAUCUGGGUUACGCUCACUCGUGAACAAAAGCACACAGCUUGGUGCUCCCGCACAGCCCUCCCUCCUUCCUGCACCCCCGGCCACUGCCUGCUUCCCAGGGCCUGCCCGCAGUGUGCUCCUCUUCUCUCUGCAAGCAGCCAGCACGGUUGGGUGCUACACAGAGGUGCUUUCUGGAAGUGAUGUUGGUCGCAGUCGCUCAGGUCUUGCGGCCAGAGUGGAGCCUCGUGCAAAAUGUCCACCAACGCAUUUAAACCAUUUGUGAACAAGAUUUCGUAACGUGGCAGUCGGGCUCCUAUUCUGUUGUUAUCACUCAAAGCACGUUGCUGUGUGAGAGCUGCCUUCUGCCUCCAUCCAUUGCAGCACCAGGGCCCAAGGAAGGGCUGCGGUGAAGACUUGAAUCUCCUCCUUCAUGUUGGAGUUCUUUCACCCGGGCUUACAAGCUGCAUGACCCAACUGAUCCAGAACGACAGCGCACAGCAUUCUGAGCUAAUACGGCUCCUGAAAGCAGCAAGGAGCUGUUUGUCACCAGUAAACCAGAAGUUUGCAAAGAGAGUUUUGGAAUGUUUGUCACUUUUCUGUUUCGAUUCGCUGGCAAUUUGCUUCUGUGGUAAAGCAGAAGGUAGCACCUUAAAUAAAUUGAUCUGGAUGAGGGAAUUUGAUCUGGAUGAGAGGAUUGAGUGCAUCCUCAGUAAGUUGGCAGAUGACACCAGGUUGGUGUAAGUGUUGAUCUGCCUGAGGGCAAGAAAGCCCGGGACAGAAUGCAUCGCUGGGCUGGGGCCAAUGGGAUGAAGUUCAACAAGAACAAGUGCUGGGUCCUGCAUUUGGCCACAACUCCAGGCAAUGCUACAGGCUUGGGGCAGUGGCUGUCAGGCUGACCCAGCACUGGGCUCUCACUGUGUUGGGGCCAGUCCCCUCCUCCCUCAUAGUCAGGCAGUUGGAGCUGAGAGGAAAGGCCUCGGCUGCUUCAGAGGGCUGUGCCAUAGGCUGGGCCAGGUGCAGCAGUACGCUGCAGCUCCAGCACAGUGCUCUGUCGCAGGACCUGACACCAAUGCAGCCCUGCCUGGGGCAUGGAUAGCAAAAUGCUGUCUGUAGGGAAGCUGGCAGGUCUGACAAUCAGUGUCUUUAUUCCUAUCAGAUUCCACUCCGGAAAUAGCAAGGCUCACUUCUUAUAGGGCAGGUUGGUGUGCGUAAGGAAUAACAAACCAUCCACUCUUUGGCACCUGUUCCAGAAGCUGCAUGCACAGGGUGAUGGCAAGGAGCUGGAUUCAGCAGCUUGGAUGUGGUGGGGAUGGGACCUGGAGCAGCAGCAUCACACCCUCCAAUUACAAAAGUGACCCUUAAGGGGCACAGCUCCCAGGAGCACAGUGAACAGUGUGUGUGGCAUGUCAGCUUGCAUGGCAGUUCCUGCACGCAGGGUGAGCUGGGGGGCAGAGCAUCCCUCCCUACUUGGGAGACUGGCUUACCCAGCGACUGCCUCCUGGAGAAUACAUCUAGCCAUGGCUUCCAUGAGGCAAAAAGCUCUCUCCAAAACGAAUGCAGUGACCCAGAUCGAGUGCCUGCCCAAAAAUGUGGCUGUCCAGAUUUCUGGCCGCACGGAGUGCCCGAG
rnacentral:lncRNA from 1 species